AUCGCUUCUCGGCCUUUUGGCUAAGAUCAAGUAUAGUAUCUGUUCUUAUCAGUUUAAUAUCUGAUACGUCCUCCAUCCGAGGACAAUAUAUUAAACGGAUUUUUGGAAUUAGGAGACAGAAUAGAAGCUUGCUCCGUCCACUGCACUUGUCGACCUGCUAUUGCAGUACUUCCAGGAACCGUGCACCCACU
ensembl:snRNA U2 U2 spliceosomal RNA